rnacentral:rRNA from 1 species
AUCAUCAGCUCUAACACAACUCACACAUGCAAGUCUCCGCAACCCGGUGAACACGCCCUCAGUCCCCCACCCGGGGAAGAGGAGCAGGCAUCAGGCACAAAAAUUAGCCCAAGACGCCUAGCCCAGCCACACCCCCAAGGGAAUUCAGCAGUGAUAAACAUUAAGCCAUAAGUGAAAGCUUGACUCAGUUAGUGUUAAUGAGGGCCGGUAAAACUCGUGCCAGCCACCGCGGUUAGACGAGAGGCCCCAGUUGAUAAUUUUAACGGCGUAAAGGGUGGUUAAGAAUAAAUAACAAAUAAAGCCAAAUGGCCCUUUGGCCGUCAUACGCUUCUAGAUGUCUGAAGCCCUAAUACGAAAGUAGCUUUAACCCCAUCUGACCCCACGAAAGCUAAGAAACAAACUAGGAUUAGAUACCCUACUAUGCUUAGCCGUAAACUUAGACAUCCAACUACAAUUAGAUGUCCGCCAGGGUACUACAAGCAUUAGCUUAAAACCCAAAGGACUUGACGGUGUCUCAGACCCCU